rnacentral:rRNA from 1 species
GACCCCGCACAAGCGGUGGAGCAUGUGGUUUAAUUCGAUGCAACGCGAAGAACCUUACCAGGGUUUGACAUCCUGCGAAUCUCUUGGGAAACGAGAGAGUGCCUUCGGGAACGCAGUGACAGGUGGUGCAUGGCUGUCGUCAGCUCGUGUCGUGAGAUGUUGGUUAAGUCCCGCAACGAGCGCAACCCUCACUUUUAGUUGCCACCAUUUAGUUGGGCACUUUAAAAGAACUGCCAGUGAUAAGCUGGAGGAAGGUGGGGAUGACGUCAAGUCCUCAUGGCCCUUAUGUGUUGGGCUACACACGUGCUACAAUGGUACUUACAAUUGGGAAGCAAAGAGGCGACUCUUAGCUAA